AGUGAACGCUGGCGGUAGGCCUAGCACAUGCAAGUCGAACGGCAGCACAGUAAGAGCUUGCUCUUACGGGUGGCGAGUGGCGGACGGGUGAGGAAUACAUCGGAAUCUACUUUUUCGUGGGGGAUAACGUAGGGAAACUUACGCUAAUACCGCAUACGACCUACGGGUGAAAGCAGGGGAUCUUCGGACCUUGCGCGAUUGAAUGAGCCGAUGUCGGAUUAGCUAGUUGGCGGGGUAAAGGCCCACCAAGGCGACGAUCCGUAGCUGGUCUGAGAGGAUGAUCAGCCACACUGGAACUGAGACACGGUCCAGACUCCUGCGGGAGGCAGCAGUGGGGAAUAUUGGACAAUGGGCGCAAGCCUGAUCCAGCCAUACCGCGUGGGUGAAGAAGGCCUUCGGGUUGUAAAGCCCUUUUGUUGGGAAAGAAAAGCAGCAGGUUAAUACCCCGCUGUUCUGACGGUACCCAAAGAAUAAGCACCGGCUAACUUCGUG
rnacentral:rRNA from 1 species